rnacentral:tRNA from 1 species
GGUGGCUUAGUGGUAGAGCGCUUGCCUUACAAGCAUGAGGCCCUGGGUUUGAUUCCUCAGCACCA